CCUACGGGAGGCUGCAGUGAGGAAUAUUGGUCAAUGGGCGAGAGCCUGAACCAGCCAAGUCGCGUGAAGGAUGACGGCCCUACGGGUUGUAAACUUCUUUUGUCAGGGAGCAAUUGGGUCCACGCGUGGGCUUAGCGAGAGUACCUGAAGAAAAAGCAUCGGCUAACUCCGUGCCAGCAGCCGCGGUAAUACGGGGGAUGCGAGCGUUAUCCGGAUUUAUUGGGUUUAAAGGGGGCGUAGGCGGAAUAUCAAGUCAGCGGUAAAAAUUCGGGGCUCAACCCCGUCGUGCCGUUGAAACUGAUGGUCUAGAGUGGGCGAGAAGGAGGCGGAAUGCGUGGUGUAGCGGUGAAAUGCAUAGAUAUCA
rnacentral:rRNA from 1 species